CCUUCCUCCCUCCUCCGGUGGUUAUAAGUCAUGUGGUGUGUUUGUGCUUUUACAAUUUAAAAUAAAAAUGAAAAUGGCGUCGUCGCUUCAAUAGUAAACGAUCUCGUUCUCUUAAUUGAAUUUCUGGUGGUUUCACUGGCUUCUGCUGUCCUUCCUUCCCCAAUCUGUAGUGAUACAUGGUUCCAGCUUCUUGCUAUCACUCAUUACUUCUCGUAUCACCAUCUUCUCUUUUGAGGAGGGUAACCCUUCAAUAAAAUCCAUGGAUAUAUGACUCCAUGAGUAUUGUGGUUCCGACAAUGGUUGUAGCAGUCUAGGAUAGGGGACAUGUUCGCCUUUGCAUCUUUAGGAUUUAUCACAACGAAAUACUUCUCGUUUGAUCUUUUUAGUCAUUCCCGGCCAAAAGAAGUAUUGCUUAGCUCUAUACACACUAGCUUGGAUGAUUGAAUGACCUCCAUUUUGAGAGGAAUGGAUAUUUUGUAUUAGCUUUGUUCCAAUCUGGCCUCCUGACCCAACAUAUAACUUUCCGUUAUACUUAAGCAAUCCAUUCUUAUAAGUGAAAGUCAGAGUCUUCCCUAAAGUUUAUCAAAGUUGCCUCAAUUUGCUGUUCAGCUUUCUCAUCUCACUUGUAGCUUUCCACCACCUAUUGUAUCUAGAUAGGUAUGAAUUGUGAUAUGGCUGCUGCAUCUCGAUUUGUCUCCUCUCUUCUUGAUAGUGCAUCAGCUACAAUGUUAUCAGUUCAUUUCUUAUAUUGCAAUUCAUAACUAAGCCUAAGUAACUUAGUUAGCCAUUUUUGCUGGAGAUGAGUAGUGAUCCUUUGCUCUAGUAAAUAGUUGAAGGACUGAUGAUCUGUUUUAAUCCCAAAAUGAUACCCCUCCAAGUAAUGUCUCCAUUUCUCUACUGCUGUAACUAGAGCUAGUGGUUCUUUUUCAUCUAUGGACAUUCCCAACUUCUCAUUUCAAAUGGCUUUACUCAUGUAAGCAAUUGGCCUCGUGCCUUGCAAUAAAACUACUCCCAUCUCCCCAUGACAAGCAUUAAUCUCCACAAUAAAAGGCUGGUUAAAAUCCGGUAGGGCUAUUACUGGUGUGUUACACAUUGAUGCCUUCAAAUUUUGAAAUGUUAUUCCUGCAACAUAAUCCCAACUGAAACAAUCCCUUUUGAGGAGGUUAUUUAGGGGUUUGCUAGGAUCUCAUAACCCUUAACAAAUUUUCUAUAGUACCUUGUCAAACCAAGGAAAUCCCCUUAAUUGUUUCACAUUACUUAUCCUAGGCCAUUGUUGAAUAGCACUCACCUUUAGAGGGUCUGUUGAUACCCCUAUUGUUGAC
rnacentral:lncRNA from 1 species